CCUACGGGAGGCAGCAGUGGGGAAUAUUGCACAAUGGGCGCAAGCCUGAUGCAGCAACGCCGCGUGAGGGACGACGGCCUUCGGGUUGUAAACCUCUUUUAGUAGGGAAGAAGCGAAAGUGACGGUACCUGCAGAAAAAGCACCGGCUAACUACGUGCCAGCAGCCGCGGUAAUACGUAGGGUGCAAGCGUUAUCCGGAAUUAUUGGGCGUAAAGAGCUCGUAGGCGGUUUGUCGCGUCUGCUGUGAAAACUGGAGGCUCAACCUCCAGCCUGCAGUGGGUACGGGCAGACUAGAGUGCGGUAGGGGAGAUUGGAAUUCCUGGUGUAGCGGUGGAAUGCGCAGAUAUCAGGAGGAACACCGAUGGCGAAGGCAGAUCUCUGGGCCGUAACUGACGCUGAGGAGCGAAAGCAUGGGGAAGCGAACAGGAUUAGAUACCCUGGUAGUCCAUGCCGUAAACGUUGGGAACUAGAUGUAGGGACCAUUCCACGGUUUCUGUGUCGCAGCUAACGCAUUAAGUUCCCCGCCUGGGGAGUACGGCCGCAAGGCAAAACUCAAAGGAAUUGACGGCUGAGACGNGCGAGCGACGACGAGGGAGAG
rnacentral:rRNA from 1 species